rnacentral:tRNA from 1 species
AUCUUAUUAGUUUAAUUAAAAAUAUUAAUUUGUGGAAUUAAAGAUAAAGUUUUAUAAGAUAUUUAAAAAU